rnacentral:misc_RNA from 1 species
GCAGUCUCAAGAAAAAUGGAAAAAGUGUGAAAAAGGGCAACGGUGUCUGAUCUGAGCACUUGAAUAACGAAAUCAGCACAAAAAUCGACAAUUGACAGUCGGUGCCAAUCCAACGGCUCUUAAUUUACCAUCUUUAACAACCAAGGGUCAGAGCCUUAACUGUCCCUACCUUCCCCAUUCCAUAGCCACGUGACCUCCCUGCACAGCACCCGCAGCAGAAACGGAGCGCCUUCUCGGCUUGAGUGCUUCACAUAUUAUUCCUCCUUCACUCUGUCUGUCUCCCGUCGAAUCUACACUUCUUGCUUGCUCUCUGUUAUCCAAACGCAGACUAAGCUCCUCUCUCUCUCUCUCUCUCU